AUUGGGAGGCCAUGAGAGCAGGAGAAAUUCCUGGGGCUUCAAACAUAAAAGCAGAUUAAAACAUCAUCAAAUCCCAACCAGUCAGGUGAGACCUUGUGGUUGGGGGCACGAAGAAUCUGAAUAGAAUUCUCGCAUGCUGAACAAGGAGCUGCAUCAGACCUUAUACGGUUAAUCAUUUGUGAGGUAGACUGGGCUGAUGUGCGUGGCAUUAAUUAUAUGAAUAAACUUCAGAUAUUGCUGCUUAAUUUUAUGAGUUUGCAUUGGCAACUUUUACGUGAUCAUGCAUGCGUACUUCACUUUCUGCUGUUGUAGACUGAUACAUCAAUGGCUCUGGAAGCUAAACCAUGAAGAGGUAGGAAUUUGAUAUUGUCGAUCAAACUUCAUCUUUAAUCUCUUCUUGUUUCUCAGGAAAUCACUCUGAGAGUCAGAUCUCGCAACACUGCUUUAACAAUACCUCUCCUAAAGGAUGUAUUUUAUGAUGCUCCAAAUGACUUGUUAACACCCAAAUAGGACAGCCAGAGUGUACAGAGCGAUGAUGCAUGAUGACUCUAGAGGUUCAAUGUGUUUAACUUUUUUUAAUUUUUUAAUUUUCUGGGUGCAGCAAUUCAGAUUUUUUUAUCGAUUACCCAGUGAUGGUUUAUUUGCUCUCCAGUUUCGCAGAACUGGAGUUAGAUUAGUCUGUAGUCCAUCUUCUUUAAACUGUAGAAUUUGUACGCUUAUAUUUUGUUGUUCCUUAACUUUAUAGUUUAGAUAUAAUUUCUGACUUUUGUUACUUGGAGAGCGUGAGGGUGCAUAUGGCAAAUGCACUUGAAAAUGCCACUGAUGAUGGAUUAAAUGUAUCUGUUGGCUGGAGGGCCAUAGGGAUCACAAAUCAGAGGGAGACCACGGUUAUGUAAAUAUGUGAAGAAAAUCCACAGGCCUUCUGCUGUACAAGCUCCAUUUGCAGGAAAUUGGAAGAUAAGAUGGUGGGUGGUAGAACACACUUUGUGGAGACAUGUGGAUUACCAAUCAGUACCUAUUUCCUUGCUCUGAAGCUAUUGUGGUUGAUGAAAAAUGUUGGUGCUAUCAAAGUAUGUAGUUCAGGCUAGUGAUUAAUUAUUUUGCACGAUUGACACCUGCCCGAUAUGGAAUCUUUAGGUCAUAAAACUUUCUGGAAUUCCUAUCAAAAUUAAAGC